rnacentral:rRNA from 1 species
GUCUCUUUGUUUACGUUAAUAUAAAGAGUCUAACCUGCCCAGUGAUUUUUUUAACGGCCGCGGUACUUUGACCGUGCAAAGGUAGCAUAAUCAUUUGCCUUAUAAUUGAAGGCUUGUAUGAAUGGUUUAACAAGAAUUAGCCUGUCUUUUACAAAUUAAAAUGAAAUUGAUCUUCAGGUGCAAAGGCCUGAAUAUUACUAAUAGACAAGAAGACCCUAUUGAGCUUUAAAAAUCUAUAGCAAUAUAAAUUAUAUUUAAAACAAAAUUUCAAAUUACUAUAAUCUUUUUAGUUGGGGCGACUAUGGAAUAGGUAAAACUUCCAUAUACCGAAUUAUUUGUUAUUAAUUUAUUUAAAUUUGAUCCAAAAUAUUUUGAUUAAUAGAAUAAGUUACCAUAGGGAUAACAGCAUAAUCUAUCUUAAGAGUUCUAAUCGAAAGAAAGGUUUGUGACCUCGAUGUUGGAUUAAAAUAUCCUAAGGGUGUAGAAGCUUUUAAGGGUUGGUCUGUUCGACCAUUGAAAUUUU